rnacentral:lncRNA from 1 species
UGGCGGGCUAGCCACUUCCCAGUCCUGUCCCUACGGGGCAGAAAAAGGCUCGGCAUCCCGGGAUCCGGAGGGUCACUUCCCUCGCUGCAUCCCCAUUGUGCAACUGCCAGUCUAAAAAUUGAUAUAGAUGUCCAGCUCCAACCUGGUUUCAUAGGCAGUGGUAAUACUGGAACAACCUCUUCUCCAAGAUUCUCAGGCAAUCAAAGGCCAUGGAAGAGCCAGCAUGUGGGGAAACUUCUUUAUUCUGCUAUCCAAAUAUAAAAUAUAUACAGAAGUAGCUCCUUUGUCCCUUAACCUUAGUAAGCAAAUUUGAUUAAGCAUUUGAACGCUAUAGAGGUGCAAGGUGGGAGAAAUUCUGCCUCUGCUACUUGGCAGCUCUAUGAUAUUGGGCAAGCCAUUCAUACCACAUUUAUAUUCCUUAUAUCCAAAAUGGACAUAAUAAUACCUUCUUACUUAUCUCACUGGGUUAUUAGAAUGAUCAUAGUGUUUAGGUGGUUGGUUGUUUCAAGGAGGUAAUAAUGUAUGUGAAAAUAAUUGGUAUAUGGAAAAGCAUUAAAUAAUAGUGCUGAAACAUUAUACAUAUUAACAUGCCUUUAAAUCUGUCUCCCUACCAUUCCAUCAUUUAUUUUGGGGGUCAGUUUUACUGAGAUAUAAUUAAUGUAUUAAUAUAAGUGUACAGCUUAAUGAGUUUUGACAAAUGUAUACAGAUAUAUGACUACUACCACAAUCAUGAUAUAGAAUAUAUCAAUGGCUCCCCAAAUUUCCUCAUGCCCCUUUGCAUUUUUAUACUUUAAAAGUCAAUAUAUACCCAAGAGUGGUUAAAACAUACCUUCCCAAAAACUUGUGCGUAAAUAUUCUUAGUAGCAUUAUGUAUGAUAGCCCCAAAGUGGAAACAACCCAAAUAGCCAUCAACUGAUAAAUGGAUAAAUAAAAUAUAUAUUCAUGCAGUGGAAUAUAAUUCAGCCACGAAAGGAAUGAAGUACCAAUGUCUGCUACAACAUGGAUGAACCUUGAAA